GCCGGUAGUCGGACGUUCCGCCAUUGUUGUUACGUGCUCCCGUGUAUUUCGAAUUGUGCGCAGAUGGUUUAAGUACUAAAUGUGAUAACGAAUCGUUUUGUAAGACAAGAGUGACUGUGGCGUACGAGCAUUUAUCUAAUAGUUUUCGACUCCGUUCAUUUGGAGUGCGUAACGUCACGCGUCGACUGCUCUCCUUGUUCGGCCGGUAUCGUUACUCGCUUCUGGUCGGGUGUUUCGUACUUUUCGCGUUUUUCGAGAAUAAAUUGUGCUCGGAUACGGUGUCAAUGGUGAUGAGAGCAAUGGCAGACGAUCGUCUCGAUACGCAAGCGAAACGCAACACGUAAAAAUAAUCGCGUUUCUGGAAUGUUCUAGUCAAAGUUAGCACCUGUUGCGUCGUGACGUACAACUUUCCCGCGCAUUUCUUGUUUUAUUCGUGUUCGUGUUCGUGCGUGAUAUUUAAGCAAAAUCGCGAAUACCAAAUUAAGAAUCGAGUAAUUAUCAUUAAUAGCGUGUGAUUCAAGAAGAACGAGAUGUCAGCAGCAGAAGAUGACAGCUUUGGAGUAACUCGAAUUUGGAAAGGGAAUGCAGUAGCAGCAACAGCGGCAACACCAACAACAAUUGAUAUUCCUUGAAAACAACGAGAAAAGGACAAUACCCAUCGUCGCCGAUUUAUAAUAUAAUAAAAUAAACGAACCGCAGCCGGUUCGUCGCGUCGCGCGUUUUUUUCCGGGAGUGCGGACUUUAAGUAUUGGACUAAUGGACUUUUCAUAAUUCCCAUUCGAUAGAAUCCUAAUUCGAGGGCCGGGAAUCGCACCCCCGCUGCUUGGCAGUGAAUAUCUUCUCACUGGGGCGUUGCGCAUGGUGGGCGUGCGCGCCGCACCGCGACGUUUCAUGCCGAGUGCCCGUGCACGAGGUAAUGCCGGGCCGCAUGUACGACAUGCCCCGUGUGCAUGUUGCGCGGCUGUCUGGUUGUGUGAGGUUACACGCUUUGUCUCUGACGAUCGGUUCGGUCCUAAGCGGUAAGAGUUCGAAUCAGUUGCCUUGGAUUCGCACGUUUCUCUUGCUCUCGUCCACCAUCCUAAGGCUUUCUUAGAUCCUUGAUACCCUUUUUGGAUUCUUUGGAUCUGAGGUUCGAGCUAGGUGAAUCACGUUUAAUCUGACUUGGUCAGAACUUGGCCUUGUAGGUUAAGCUUGUGACGAGAGGCUGGCUCUCAUUUCCUGAUUCGUCUAAAAUGCUAGACGUCGGCAAUGAGUACCUUCUUCUCUCGUCCUGCCCGAGUGUCUUGUCGACGCCGCUUGGAUAUAAGAUCCAGUGGGACUGAUUAAGAUGAUCCGUUGGCUGGGCCUAUGAACGAGUCAAUUUUAGACGUGAUUUUUGUGAGACAAGAGGCACCGGAUUCAAUGCUAUUGAUUUCGUCUUCUUCCGCGUGGGACUUACCCUUGUUCGGGGGCGGGUACGCGUGCGUUCUACUCGUCGACUCGGGGUGCUGAAUCCACGGGAAUCCCUCUGAAUGGGAACUCAUAUCAUGGGUUUUAGAAACCCGAAGUGCCGCAGUAUCGCGCGAAAAACUUUAUAAAUAAUUAGUCCACGCGCGCAAAUUUAGUAUAUUAUUCGCGAGUGUUUCGCGUGUGCAACGAAAGAAAGAGGCUUAACUACCUGGAGGACUGAGAGGAGGAGAAGGCCUGGGAGAGGCAUCGGGCGACGGCGGAGCAACCUUGGGAUUAACAUCAUAGUUACAACUCCGCUGCUGCACGUCAUGUCGGUGAGUCAAAAAUAAUUUUUUAAGUUAAAGUAAUGGAUCUAUCAAAAUUAUAUUAGAUAUACGUAUAAUAUGUAAAUGGAACAAGCUAAGAAUAUACGAAUAUUACAAAUAAAUAGAACAUCUCACAGAUCUAUUGCUUUAAAUAGAAAUAAGCUUAAAGCAGCUUCUUAUACUUCAUUUAUAUUAACAAAUAUUGUGUUUGCGCUUUAUCUUGAAUAUCAAAAUAAACUAACAGUAAAUAUUUUCAAGAAUUGCAAGAAAAAAUACUCGAUUAAAAAUUCCUCAUUUCUUCAUGUUUAUUUUUUCAUUUCUCAAGAUUGUAAAUUUUCAUUUAAUUUUAAUGAUAGCUUCUUACAUUAAAUCAAGACAUGAAUCGAAGCAAGAUUGCGCUUCUUUGUCUGACCUUUGCGUGCUUGCUUCACUAGCUCCCCACCACUUCGCUCCGUUGCGCCAGACAGAUACUUGUUUUCCUUCACCAUCGGCGCUGAAAA